GACAGAGGUGCCGAGCGUUAGGCGGAAUCACUGGGCUUAAAGCGUGUGUAGGCGGGUGCCUAAGUACUUUGUGAAAUCCCACGGCUCAACCGUGGAACUGCUUGGUAUACUGGGUAUCUUGAGCCACUUAGGGGCAACCGGAACAAACGGUGGAGCGGUGAAAUGCGUAGAUAUCGGGAGGAACACCAGUGGCGAAGGCGAUCAUCUGGGGUUGUUCUGACACUGAGGAGCGAAAGCGUGGGGAGCGAACAGG
rnacentral:rRNA from 1 species